AGCAUACUAUUGAAUGUCCCCAACUACGUCAUCUUCCUUCCAUAUAAGCCUAUUCCCAACAAUUUUCUUUAAGUCUUCAUCUUCCUUUCACUUCAACCUUUCCCUAUGCCCUAACUUCAUAACAAAUUCUCCCUGUUAGAGAACCUUGCCCACAAGGUGUGGAUAAAGUUCUCUCAUUUUUUGCAAUAGCUCCGAGCUAUUGUCUUAUGCUUUCGCCCCUACCCAUUUAAUGAGUACCUUUGUUAUUGCCCUUUAGAAUUUAGGGUGAAUCCUCGAGGUAGAGGAAAGAUUGAGGCGGUAAGCUACCAGACCCACUCGUUGGACCACCCUAAAAGGUCCAUAAAAUCUAGGUAAGGGUUUGAGGUUAUGGUGGACAAUCACCGAUUUCUGAAGAUACGAUUGAAUGGGAGUGAGCAUGAUGAUGAGUACGAGCAGACAGGCCAAGAUUAGAUGGAGCAGUUGAUUAAAUUCUAGACUUCUUAAACUAAAUUACUUUUAUGAUAUAAAUUUUAUCCAGUUGUUUCAUUUAAUUUUAUUGGAAACAUGUUUCUAUUAAAUAAUUCUUUUAUGAAAUAAAUAUUUGUUUUAUUAAAAAUGAGAUCUAUCGCCGAGUCAUUUUUAUGAAAAUACGUGGCAUCUCCAGCAUAUGGGAACGGGGUGUUACACACACAGCAAAAGAGUUUAGAAAAACAAUAUUGAUUUUUUGAAGAACUAAUUUCAUA